AACGUAGGAGACAAACGUUAUCCGGAGUUACUGGGCGUAAAGGGCGUGUAGGUGGUUUCGUAAGUCUGGCGUGAAAUAUCUCGGCUUAACCGAGGCAGGUCGUCGGAUACUGCGGAACUAGAGGACGGUAGAGGCGUGUGGAAUUCCGGGUGUAGUGGUGAAAUGCGUAGAGAUCCGGAGGAACACCAGUGGCGAAGGCGACACGCUGGGCCGUACCUGACACUGAUGCGCGACAGCAUGGGGAGCAAACCGG
rnacentral:rRNA from 1 species